UGGGGAAUUUUGGACAAUGGGGGAAACCCUGAUCCAGCCAUCCCGCGUGUGCGAUGAAGGCCUUCGGGUUGUAAAGCACUUUUGGCAGGAAAGAAACGUCGCGGGUUAAUACCCCGCGAAACUGACGGUACCUGCAGAAUAAGCACCGGCUAACUACGUGCCAGCAGCCGCGGUAAUACGUAGGGUGCAAGCGUUAAUCGGAAUUACCGGGCGUAAAGCGUGCGCAGGCGGUUCGGAAAGAAAGAUGUGAAAUCCCAGAGCUUAACUUUGGAACUGCAUUUUUAACUACCGGGCUAGAGUGUGUCAGAGGGAGGUGGAAUUCCGCGUGUAGCAGUGAAAUGCGUAGAUAUGCGGAGGAACACCGAUGGCGAAGGCAGCCUCCUGGGAUAACACUGACGCUCAUGCACGAAAGCGUGGGGAGCAAACAGGAUUAGAUACCCUGGUAGUCCACGCCCUAAACGAUGUCAACUAGCUGUUGGGGCCUUCGGGCCUUGGUAGCGCAGCUAACGCGUGAAGUUGACCGCCUGGGGAGUACGGUCGCAAGAUUAAAACUUAAAGGAAUUGACGGGGGUCAUAGCUGUUUCCCU
rnacentral:rRNA from 1 species